UUACAUAGCGGUGUAAGGGCACGAAGAAUUUUGAUUUCUUAAGAGAGGUUCAGAACCUCCUAGUAAAG
rnacentral:tRNA from 1 species